rnacentral:sRNA from 2 species
AUGGCAUAAUUAUAACUAGAUGGCGACGACUAGCUGAACGAACCCAUUUGGACUUCUAUCAAUUGCACACUAGGCGGCUGUUGAUUCGACUGAUUAUCACUCACGACUUCAAGCUCUCUUAACGUCCCUCAUUGUCGGAAACGGGAGACGUGAGUCCAAAUACGUGGGGCCAAACACAUUUAUUCUCCAGAACAAUGGGUUGGCUGGGACAUUACAAAACGUGAACUGGAGAGAGUUCCAGCGGGUGAUGGUUACGGGCUAUAUGAACGCCCGGGGUUAGCAAAGGAAACAAAUAGGACAUUAACGGUGGAGAUGAUUCAAUCAUCCGCGAUGCGGGGUGCCUGUUGGUCUAGCUGGAGAAAGGGAC